CCAUACGGCCACAAUCGGGUAUAAAAUCACGGAUAUGUUCUAUACUUGAACGCACACGUUUAUAUAAUUCACCCGUCUUCGUUUUACUGAUAAAAUAAAAUAAUAUGCAGUCGACGAAUAUGAUCAAUAUGAUCAGUACCGGACGGAAAUGGAUGCUGAUCAUCGUGGCUGUGGUAAGUUCAUAAUUUAAAUCACAGUAUUAUAGUGUGCUAUACAAAAAAACAAGGCUAGAAAUUAACGACUUUUAAGGUUGUAUUAUGAAUAGGUUCAGUUACUUAUCGCUAUAGUUCUUUUAUUUGUAAAACAAAUUUUAAUUCAAUCUAAAUUUAUAAUAAAUAUAACCUAUACCUAUGUAAAUUAAGUCAGACGCUCUCUGAAAUACAAUAAUUUAAAAUUUCUGAAUGAGGUUUUUACUUAUUAAUAUUGGCGAUUUCACUAGUAUGUAAAAUGUACAUUAUAUAGACCAGAUACAAAAAUUUAGAGUUUCAACCGUUUUCGCGAAAUGUAUUUUCGCAGAACUAUUGGAUUGAAAGUUAUAUAUUUAAACAAAAUCUUAAUCAAAUGAACCAUAACAAAAAAUAAAAACGGCAUGCACCCUAAUUACUUACAUAUUCUUGUUUUUCGAAGUAGUUACUCAAGACAAUCUUAUAAAAUAAGACUUGUUUUAGAUCCUGAACGAAACUUGUAUGUUAGCUGUGUUUAAUGUGAUUAUGCAGUUUUGUAAUAACCUGCAUUUUUAUCUUUCAACUGUAAACAUAAUUAUUAUUUUCUUUCUUCAGAUAAUGAUGACGUAUAUCGAAUCGGUGAAAUCGGCACCAUGUGGAUGUGGCCGUAAAAAGAGUAAGGGUUGUGGCUGCUGCUGAGAGAAAAAUAUACGAUCCAGAGUCUACUGCAGAGGUAGGUCACAUUAUAAUAUCAUUAAUCUACUUCAAACUUACAGAGCAUUUGAGUAAUAGUAAACGUUUUUAUAAAAAAUAAUAUAAUAAUAGUAAUCCUUAUAUAUUCAACAUCGAUCAUUGUUUUUCGAAUUAUAAUUUACAGUGGUAGUUUUAUGAACAAACGGUCCUCUACAAUUAGCAUAUUAUUAUUUUAUUUUUGUCUAUUUAUAUGAUCACUUUAGUAAAAUGACAUUGUUAUUUUGUUUUAGAUGUUAUUAUAAUAUGCAUAUUCAUUUAAUCGGCACCAUUGGAACCGUGUGAAGACAAAAGAACUAAAAAAAAAAAAAAAAAAAUGUAAUUUUUUUUCUCUAAACAAUAAUAGUUUCUCUUUCAAUACCGUUAUAAAACGAAUAAGAAAAUGUUAAGUAUAUCUAUACUGAUAUCAUUUAUAUUAUUCGUGUACAAUUGAAUUUCCAAAGUAUGUAAAAUGUAAAAUGCAAAAUGUAACUACACAAAAAUAAAUAUUUUUAAGCAGGUGUUAUUUUUGUAUUGUACCUACUCGUCGUAAACGUAUAGCUCGUCAUGUUUAUAUUGUAUGACGGGCAUACAGACAGUAUUAAAUAAUAAGAAUACGUCAAACUGUACAUAAAUUAA